rnacentral:rRNA from 1 species
GUCUUCACUGGGUGGUGAUGUGAAGUCUGGCCUGCCCACUGAAUACAUUUAAAGGGCCGCGGUAUACUAACCGUGCGAAGGUAGCAUAGUCAAUAGUCUUUUAAUUGGAGGCUUGAAUGAACGGUCGGACAUGGGGAUGGCUGUCUGUGACUUAAGGGUAUGAAUUUAACUUUUGUGUGAAAAGGCAUUAAUAUUUUAAAGGGACGAUAAGACCCUAUAAAACUUGACAUUUAGGCCUGGGCCCUAGAAUUUAGGUAUAAUUGAGGGUGGUGGUAGUUUGUUGUGCUGGGGCGGCUAGAAUAUAAGAUAUAGUAACUGUUCUUUAUAUUGAAUAAUGAUUAUUAGGUGUUGACCCUGAAUUUUAGGUUAAAAGAUUAAGUUACUUUAGGGAUAACAGCGUUAUUUUCCUUGAGAGUUCAUAUCGACAGGGAUAUUUGCGACCUCGAUGUUGAAUUAAAGUUUUCUUCGGGAGUAGAAGUUCGGGGGAUAGGUCUGUUCGACCUUUAAAACUUUACAUGAUUUGAGUUCAAACCGGUGUGAG